UUAUUUAAUGGCCGCGGUAAUUUGACCGUGCAAAGGUAGCAUAAUCAUUAGUCUAUUAAUUGUGGACUUGUAUGAAUGGUUGGACGAAAUAUUAACUGUCUCUUUUUAAUAAUUAGAAUUUAAAUUUUAAGUUAAAAUGCUUAAAUUUUUUUAUUGGACGAUAAGACCCUAUAGAUCUUUAUUUUUAUUUAUUUUUUAAUGUUUAGUUUAUUUUAUUUUUAAUUUAGAUAAUUGUUUUGUUGGGGUGACAUAAGGAUAAUUAUAUAACUCCUUAUUUUAUUAAACAUUUAUUUAUGAUUAUUUGACCUUUUAUUAUUGUUAUAAGAUUUAGAUACCUUAGGGAUAACAGCGUAAUUCUUUUUGAGAGUUCAUAUCGACAAGGGAGAUUGCGACCUCGAUGUUGGAUUAAGAUUAUAGUUAGGUGUAGGUGCUUAACAAUUAGGUCUGUUCGACCUUUAAAUUCUUACAUGAUCUGAGU
rnacentral:rRNA from 1 species